UAUACGGUCUUACUAAUAAAAAAUCACUAUACAUGCGUUAUGACAAGGUGAUAGUAAUUCAGUGAAUAGAGCUUGUACAGGGCAUAAACUCCUCUUUGACCAAUAAUCGAUGUGUAUUGGUUGAAUAACAAAACGACCCUUAUUUAUUGUUACCCUGGCAACCCGCCGUGUUUGAUUGACGUUUGAUUUAAUAAUUUUGAUACGACUCAUAAUUCUAAUGUAAGUUGUAUUUAUUUUAUCAACCAAAGCAAUUAUAUACACAUUUACUCAAUAUACUAAUAACAUUUUAUUAUUUGCAGCUAAUAGAAACUCCAAAACCUCAGACAAAGAGGACUAGAAUUUUACAUAAAAAGCCGCGUUCUGCAGUACAAAAGUUAGAAGAGGCAUCUCAAAUAGUGGAAAGUGCCAAACUCCGCAACACGGUAGUGUUCCAGUGUUUCCAGGAAGAGCACGAAACAAAACAAAGGCAGAUGGCUGAAACACAUGAGCUCAAACAGAAGCGACUCGCCGAAGCUCACGAAAGGGCUAGACAGAAGCAUCUUCUAAGGCUCAAAUUGUUACAGCAGCAAUUAAAUAAAUAAUUAUAUACUUAUAAAAAAAAUAAAACCCCCGUUUUAAAUGAAA